GCUUGGUGGCAUAUAUCUGUAGUUCCAGCAUUUGGGAGGCUGAGAUGGAGGAUCACUGGAGCCCAGGAGGUCAAGUUCAAUACUGCCUUGGGCAACAUAGUGAGAUCCCAUCUCAA
rnacentral:sRNA from 1 species